CAGCAGCCGCGGUAAUACGAAGGGUGCAAGCGUUAAUCGGAAUCACUGGGCGUAAAGCGUGCGUAGGCGGUGAGUUAAGUCUGCUGUGAAAUCCCCGGGCUCAACCUGGGAAUGGCAGUGGAUACUGGCUCGCUAGAGUGUGUCAGAGGAUGGUGGAAUUCCCGGUGUAGCGGUGAAAUGCGUAGAGAUCGGGAGGAACAUCAGUGGCGAAGGCGGCCAUCUGGGACAACACUGACGCUGAUGCGCGAAAGCGUGGGGAGCAAACAGGAUUAGAUACCCCCGUAGUCCCUGUCUCUUAUAC
rnacentral:rRNA from 1 species